UUCAACAACAACAAUUCAUUUCGUUUAAUUACGCACUGAUCCCUAAACAGCAGUGCAGCGGCUGAGACUCCAAUGAGCGUAGUCGCCGAGUGCUCCUAGUUCGCGUCCCUAAGGGACCCUCCUUCUCGAGCCACAGAAGUGGAAGCGGGCAAUGGAAUCCCUCCUCAUAAACUGCCCCGCUCGGUCUGCCGUCCCCUCAUUUAUCUCUCCCCAAACGACACAAAUCCCCAUGGAGCAUAAGACCCAAUGGAAUCCAGCCCCCUCUAGGAUUUGCGACCGUAGUCAGGUAGGACUGGCGGCUACGACGGCGAUGGCAGGGCAACGGCAGGAACGCAUGCCGAUUGAUCUGGAGGGGAUGGAUGAAACUUCAUGCAAAAGGGCUCAACAUACUCGAGGGCAAGCCGGAGCCGCAGCUCCGAGGACUACAUGAUCCUCUGCACGUAAGUUGCCUCCCUCCACGCCUUCCUCCAACCAUACCUAGGCUUGGCCCGAUUUAACAUUAUCCGGCGCUGAUCUAAGGUCUCUGCCCCCUGUUAGAGUACAUCCAAGCCACAGUGACUUGAUUCGUCCGCUCCUCUCGCUAACACGCACAUCUUUAUUGUGUGUCCAGAUUAUCCACUGUUUUGUGUGCGUGUGCGAGUGUUGCUGGUUUCUAGAUCCAAUGAAAGAAGCAGAUCUGAUUGUGUUUUGGUCUCGAAGAUGCAGAUAUAGGUUUGCAUUUGUGUAUUCCUUUUCAGUUCAGGUGGAGCGUGAGGGUGGGUUGUCUUAGUGGCUGCGAGUGAUUACAUUGGCGAAUUGUCUUAGUGGAUGCGAAUGAUUACUUUUCAUCCUUCACAAAAUCAGACCCCAUUGAAUUAUUUUGUUCUUUCAUCUUUGGCAAUUUGAAACAUACUAUGACGACCUCAUCGCCAAGGGACCAGGAAUACAAGAUCGCACCAGGGGAUGGGGUCGGUGCAGGAAGUAGAUGAGACUUGGAGAGAAAGAAGGUGAGGAAAAGAGAGUAGCACGUGAGAUCCAGAAUACUACAUGCUAAUACAUGCCCACACUUCUGUUUGGUACAGAUUAAGGGUCAUAGCCCAUAGAAACAAACACACUACUGAAUUACAUGGCGUCAUGUCCAACUGCUAUCCACUUGCAUUACCCACUACCUGCAGGUGCGACACAAGACCUUUGUAUUAGAAUUCCAGUAUAACUAUCUUUUACGUAGUAUUAGGUACAGUUAGUGCAUCAGUGAGUUUGCUUUUUACUUGACAAUUUGUUUUACAUCAGUUUAUUUAUGCUCCCUCUUUAUGGGGCUAAAUAAAUGACAUCAAGAAGCUGGAGCCAGCCCCCAUCUUUGUCGAGGCGGCUCUCAAUUGGCGUAUGUGAUGUGUGCAUCAGAAGACCUCUUGGUCGAGCUUCUAGCAUGGCAAUGGUAGCGUUUUUUGGUGAGCUGACUCUACAGCAGGGAGGAAGCCAUCAAGCUACUCCGUCCUAUUGAUGAUAAGCUUACAAGCAGGGGCAACGAAGGUUGAAGGCCUUCAUCAUCGUAUAUUCAAAGAUCCACCGAAAAGAUACAUAUUUCUUGUUGGAAUAAUUUUUCUUUUGUCUGGCUUUUCGUUUGUGCCAUAUUAUUAUCCAUUAGUUCGCAUCUCAAAUUGGUACUUUCUUUGUUCUUGAGAGUUGAAGGUUAGUGACUAUUGGGUAUGCUGAAUUGGUAGGUUUUAAGUUCAUUUAUACAAGGUGAUCUUUCUCUACAAGUUUUUGUGUAGGUGGCAACAUUUGGUCGUCUCCUUUGUUCUAGAGGAUAGUUAAUGAAUUACCUGCAUGUUGAUGAUAUUCAGCUUAGGGAACAAGAUAAUUGCACAUACAUGGAUCCAACAUAUAUUUAUUCCUUUUACAUUCGACUAUAGCAUGGCUGAUCUGAUGCACUAUUUUCAUGUAUAAAACAGGCAAUUGUUAUCAUUGAAAGGCUUCUUUUGUUUUCAAUUCUAUGUAUAAACACUACAGUUACUAUUCGAUGAAAGCAAUGGUUUUGUAUGCACAUCCUUUCAAAAUGGGAAUGUUUCGAUGCA